AAUCAUGACAUUGUAGUAUCACUCUGUUUGAAGCAUUUAAGGACUUUUAUGAUUUUGUGCCGUCUUACCAGUGAGGGUUCAUGGAUUUGAUCUAGUCAUUUUAUUGACAAGAGCCCACGCGAGUGGUUUAGCAGUAUUAUCUGUAAAGGAAUCAUGACUUGGUUGGACAGUCUUAUCUACGUGGGCCUGUUGGAUGGUCUAGUGGCUGUACACAUGCACAAGGGCCCAACGCACAUACGUGCUUACUAGGGGAGAUAUCUUAUUACUGAUUACGGUUUAUCUCUUAUGAUGACUUCCAGAUAUUGUUAUAUAUCCAGUUAUUACUUUCAUGCAUUUAUUUUGAAGACUUGUUCUAAGGGGUAAGACAAGGAGCGAGUUGAUAAUUUUUCUGGGCGUUAUGCUCACCAAGUCCACUUACUGUUUCGUGUAAAUCCUUAUACUAGUAGCACUACUCGGUUACCAUAAUCUCGUUCGAGAUCAACUCAGUUCCAGCUGAGGUGAGCCAAUCGCUCAGUUCGUGGUGGCUACUACUGUGUUAUAUAUCUUCCUUAAAUUCAAUAUUUCGGUUGCGUGCCUUGUCUUUUGAAUUCACUUGCUCUUGUAGUUCCUCGACAAUGUAUUUUGGGAUUUCAUGCUAUCAGAUUCACUUGAACUGCGUUCUUUCUAAUUCCACUGUUUAA